GAAAACCUGCCGUAUACUGGGGGAUAACACUUAGAAAUAGGUGCUAAUACCGCAUAAGCGCACAGCUUCGCAUGAAGCAGUGUGAAAAACUGAGGUGGUAUACGAUGGUUCCGCGUCUGAUUAGCUAGUUGGUGGGGUAAAAGCCUACCAAGGCAACGAUCAGUAGCCGGCCUGAGAGGGUGAACGGCCACAUUGGGACUGAGACACGGCCCAAACUCCUACGGGAGGCAGCAGUGGGGAAUAUUGCACAAUGGGGGAAACCCUGAUGCAGCGACGCCGCGUGAGUGAAGAAGUAUUUCGGUAUGUAAAGCUCUAUCAGCAGGGAAGAAAUACUGACCAUAGGGUCAGCAGACGGUACUCGACUAAGAAGCCCCGGCUAACUACGUGCCAGCAGCCGCGGUAAUACGUAGGGGGCAAGCGUUAUCCGGAUUUACUGGGUGUAAAGGGAGCGUAGACGGCAGCGCAAGUCUGAAGUGAAAUGCCAGGGCUUAACCCUGGAACUGCUUUGGAAACUGUGCAGCUAGAGUGCAGGAGAGGUAAGUGGAAUUUCUAGUGUAGCGGUGAAAUGCGUAGAUAUUAGGAGGAACACCAGUGGCGAAGGCGGCUUACUGGACUGUAACUGACGUUGAGGCUCGAAAGCGUGGGGAGCAAAACAGGAUUAGAUACCCUGGUAGUCCACGCUGUAAACGAUGAUUACUAGGUGUUGGGGGACCAAGGUUCUU
rnacentral:rRNA from 1 species